rnacentral:rRNA from 1 species
UACGUAGGUGGCAAGCGUUGUCCGGAUUUACUGGGCGUAAAGCGUGCGCAGGCGGUGAUGUAAGACAGUUGUGAAAUCCCCGGGCUCAACCUGGGAACUGCAUCUGUGACUGCAUCGCUGGAGUACGGCAGAGGGGGAUGGAAUUCCGCGUGUAGCAGUGAAAUGCGUAGAUAUGCGGAGGAACACCGAUGGCGAAGGCAAUCCCCCGGGCCUGUACUGACGCUCAUGCACGAAAGCGUGGGGAGCAAACAGG